rnacentral:rRNA from 1 species
AGCAGUGGGGAAUAUUGGACAAUGGGCGCAAGCCUGAUCCAGCAAUGCCGCGUGGAUGAAGAAGGUCUUCGGAUUGUAAAGUCCUUUCGGCGGGGACGAUGAUGACGGUACCCGCAGAAGAAGCCCCGGCUAACUUCGUGCCAGCAGCCGCGGUAAUACGAAGGGGGCUAGCGUUGCUCGGAAUGACUGGGCGUAAAGGGCGCGUAGGCGGAUUGAUCAGUCGGGCGUGAAAUUCCUGGGCUUAACCUGGGGGCUGCGUUCGAGACGGUUGGUCUAGAGUUUGGAAGAGGGUCGUGGAAUUCCCAGUGUAGAGGUGAAAUUCGUAGAUAUUGGGAAGAACACCGGUGGCGAAAGGCGGCGACCUGGUCCUUGACUGACGCUGAGG